rnacentral:rRNA from 1 species
CAUGCCGCGUGCAGGAAGACGGCCCUAUGGGUUGUAAACUGCUUUUAUACAGGAAGAAACACUCGUACGUGUACGAGCUUGACGGUACUGUAAGAAUAAGGACCGGCUAACUCCGUGCCAGCAGCCGCGGUAAUACGGAGGGUCCGAGCGUUAUCCGGAAUCAUUGGGUUUAAAGGGUCCGCAGGCGGUCAAUUAAGUCAGAGGUGAAAUCCCAUAGCUUAACUAUGGAACUGCCUUUGAUACUGGUUGACUUGAGUCAUAUGGAAGUAGAUAGAAUGUGUAGUGUAGCGGUGAAAUGCAUAGAUAUUACAUAGAAUACCAAUUGCGAAGGCAGAUUACUAAUAAUCAACUGACACUGAUGGACGAAAGCGUGGGUAGCGAACAGGAUUAGAUACCCUGGUAGUCCACGCCGUAAACGAUGGUUACUAGCUGUGUGGAUUUCGGUCUGCGUGGCUAAGCGAAAGUGAUAAGUAACCCACCUGGGGAGUACGUUCGCAAGAAUGAAACUCAAAGGAAUUGACGGGGGCCCGCACAAGCGGUGGAGCAUGUGGUUUAAUUCGAUGAUACGCGAGGAACCUUACCAGGGCUUAAAUGUAAGUUGCAUUAGCUAGAGAUAGCUAUUUCUUCGGACCACUUACAAGGUGCUGCAUGGUUGUCGUCAGCUCGUGCCGUGAGGUGUCAGGUUAAGUCCUAUAACGAGCGCAACCCACGUCCUUAGUUACCAGCAUUUAGUUGGGUACCCUAAGGAGACUGCCGGUGAUAAGCCGGAGGAAGGUGUGGACGACGUCAAGUCAUCAUGGCCCUUACGGGUUGGGCUACACACGUGCUACAAUGG